AGAGUUUGAUCCUGGCUCAGGAUGAACGCUGGCGGCGUGCUUAACACAUGCAAGUCGAACGCACCUUCGGGUGAGUGGCGGACGGGUGAGUAACGCGUGGGAAUCUGCCCUUAGGAGGGGGAUAACGGCUGGAAACGGCCGCUAAUACCCCAUAUGCCGAGAGGUGAAACGAAUUUCGCCUGAGGAUGAGCCCGCGUCUGAUUAGCUAGUUGGUGGGGUAAGAGCCCACCAAGGCGACGAUCAGUAGCUGGUCUGAGAGGAUGAUCAGCCACACUGGGACUGAGACACGGCCCAGACUCCUACGGGAGGCAGCAGUGGGGAAUUUUCCGCAAUGGGCGAAAGCCUGACGGAGCAACGCCGCGUGAGGGAUGAAGGCCUCUGGGCUGUAAACCUCUUUUCUCAAGGAAGAAGACAUGACGGUACUUGAGGAAUAAGCCACGGCUAAUUCCGUGCCAGCAGCCGCGGUAAUACGGGAGUGGCAAGCGUUAUCCGGAAUUAUUGGGCGUAAAGCGUCCGCAGGCGGCUCUGUAAGUCUGUUGUUAAAGCGUGGAGCUCAACUCCAUUUCAGCAAUGGGAACUACAGGGCUUGAGUGUGGUAGGGGCAGAGGGAAUUCCCGGUGUAGCGGUGAAAUGCGUAGAUAUCGGGAAGAACACCAGUGGCGAAGGCGCUCUGCUGGGCCAUAACUGACGCUCAUGGACGAAAGCCAGGGGAGCGAAAGGGAUUAGAUACCCCUGUAGUCCUGGCCGUAAACGAUGAACACUAGGUGUCGGGGGAAUCGACCCCCUCGGUGUCGUAGCCAACGCGUUAAGUGUUCCGCCUGGGGAGUACGCACGCAAGUGUGAAACUCAAAGGAAUUGACGGGGGCCCGCACAAGCGGUGGAGUAUGUGGUUUAAUUCGAUGCAACGCGAAGAACCUUACCAGGGUUUGACAUCCUGCGAAUCCCUUGGAAACUUGGGAGUGCCUUCGGGAGCGCAGAGACAGGUGGUGCAUGGCUGUCGUCAGCUCGUGUCGUGAGAUGUUGGGUUAGGUCCCGCAACGAGCGCAACCCACGUCUUUAGUUGCCAGCAUUCAGUUGGGCACUCUAGAGAGACCGCCGGUGAUAAACCGGAGGAAGGUGUGGAUGACGUCAAGUCAUCAUGCCCCUUACAUCCUGGGCUACACACGUACUACAAUGCUACGGACAGAGGGCAGCAAGCUCGCGAGAGUUAGCAAAUCCCAUAAACCGUGGCUCAGUCCAGAUCGUAGGCUGCAACUCGCCUACGUGAAGGAGGAAUCGCUAGUAAUCGCAGGUCAGCAUACUGCGGUGAAUACGUUCCCGGGCCUUGUACACACCGCCCGUCACACCAUGGAAGUUGGCCAUGCCCGAAGUCGUUACUCCAACCCUUGUGGAGGAGGACGCCGAAGGUGGGGCUGAUGACUGGGGUGAAGUCGUAACAAGGUA
rnacentral:rRNA from 1 species